rnacentral:rRNA from 1 species
AUGACAGCCUGCAACUUACUUGCUUCCAGCACACUAGUAACACAUUCUAAGGUUCGUAAUCGGCUACUUCAGAGCGUUGUUGCUAUUCUGUGGGUAAAGGUCCUCAUUUUGUUGAUGGUGGCAUCUUACAAAGAAAAGAAAGUUCGAGAUGGGAACACUUGUUUCAAAUGCUCUCCUCCCAUUCGCGAUGCUGCCAACAAGGAAAACCUCUGGGAAGCUCUGCUGUACAAACACAUCAGCGCAGUGAGUAAGGAUGUGGCACCUUGA